rnacentral:rRNA from 1 species
AGAGUUUGAUUCUGGCUCAGGAUGAACGCUGGCGGCGUGCUUAACACAUGCAAGUCGAACGAAGCGGCUGCAGGGAUUCCCUUCGGGGAGGAACAGUAGCUGUCUGAGUGGCGGACGGGUGAGUAACGCGUGGGCAACCUGCCCCAUACCGGGGGAUAACAGCCGGAAACGGCUGCUAAUACCGCAUACGCCCAGGAGGCUGCAUAGCUUCCUGGGGAAAACUCCGGUGGUAUGGGAUGGGCCCGCGUCUGAUUAGCUCGUUGGCGGGGUAACGGCCCACCAAGGCGACGAUCAGUAGCCGGCCUGAGAGGGCGGCCGGCCACAUUGGGACUGAGACACGGCCCAGACUCCUGCGGGAGGCAGCAGUGGGGAAUAUUGCACAAUGGGGGAAACCCUGAUGCAGCGACGCCGCGUGAGCGAUGAAGUAUCUCGGUAUGUAAAGCUCUAUCAGCAGGGAAGAAAGUGACAGUACCUGACUAAGAAGCCCCGGCUAACUACGUGCCAGCAGCCGCGGUAAUACGUAGGGGGCAAGCGUUAUCCGGAUUCACUGGGCGUAAAGGGAGCGCAGGCGGCACGGCAAGUCUGGUGUGAAAACCCGGGGCUCAACCCCGGGACUGCAUUGGAAACUGCCGGGCUGGAGUGUCGGAGGGGUAAGCGGAAUUCCUAGUGUAGCGGUGAAAUGCGUAGAUAUUAGGAGGAACACCAGUGGCGAAGGCGGCUUACUGGACGAUGACUGACGCUGAGGCUCGAAAGCGUGGGGAGCAAACAGGAUUAGAUACCCUGGUAGUCCACGCCGUAAACGA